AUUGAACGCUGGCGGCAGGCCUAACACAUGCAAGUCGAGCGGAUGAAGGGAGCUUGCUCCUGGAUUCAGCGGCGGACGGGUGAGUAAUGCCUAGGAAUCUGCCUGGUAGUGGGGGAUAACGUCCGGAAACGGGCGCUAAUACCGCAUACGUCCUGAGGGAGAAAGUGGGGGAUCUUCGGACCUCACGCUAUCAGAUGAGCCUAGGUCGGAUUAGCUAGUUGGUGGGGUAAAGGCCUACCAAGGCGACGAUCCGUAACUGGUCUGAGAGGAUGAUCAGUCACACUGGAAGUGAGACACGGUCCAGACUCCUACGGGAGGCAGCAGUGGGGAAUAUUGGACAAUGGGCGAAAGCCUGAUCCAGCCAUGCCGCGUGUGUGAAGAAGGUCUUCGGAUUGUAAAGCACUUUAAGUUGGGAGGAAGGGCAGUAAGUUAAUACCUUGCUGUUUUGACGGUACCAACAGAAUAAGCACCGGCUAACUACGUG
rnacentral:rRNA from 1 species